rnacentral:rRNA from 1 species
UACGUAGGGUGCGAGCGUUGUCCGGAAUUACUGGGCGUAAAGAGUUCGUAGGCGGUUUGUCGCGUCGUCUGUGAAAACCCAUCGCUCAACGAUGGGCCGGCAGGCGAUACGGGCAGACUUGAGUACUGCAGGGGAGACUGGAAUUCCUGGUGUAGCGGUGAAAUGCGUAGAUAUCUGGAGGAACACCGGUGGCGAAGGCGGCUCUCUGGAACGGUACGUGACGCUGAGGCACGAAAGCUAGGGGAGCAAACAGG